rnacentral:rRNA from 1 species
GAUGAACGCUAGCGGCAGGCUUAACACAUGCAAGUCGAGGGGUAGAGGAAGCUUGCUUCCUUGAGACCGGCGCACGGGUGCGUAACGCGUAUACAAUCUACCUUUUACAGAGGGAUAGCCCCAGAGAAAUUUGGAUUAAUACCUCAUAGUAUUUUCGGAUCGCAUGAUUUGAUUAUUAAAGUUCCAACGGUAAAGAUGAGUAUGCGUCCCAUUAGCUAGAUGGUAAGGUAACGGCUUACCAUGGCAAUGAUGGGUAGGGGUCCUGAGAGGGAGACCU